rnacentral:rRNA from 1 species
AUACGGAGGGGGCGAGCGUUAUUCGGAAUCAUUGGGCGUAAAGGGCGCGUAGGCGGCCUGACAAGUCAGGGGUGAAAUCCCUCGGCUCAACCGAGGAACUGCCUCUGAAACUGUCAGGCUUGAGGCCGGGAGAGGGUAGUGGAAUUCCCAGUGUAGCGGUGAAAUGCGUAGAUAGUGGGAGGAACACCAGUGGCGAAGGCGGCUACCUGGACCGGUUCUGACGCUGAGGCGCGAAAGUGUGGGGAGCAAACAGGAUUAGAUACCCCAGUAGUCC